rnacentral:rRNA from 1 species
GGCUCUAACAAACGCAUGGCUCCCAAUCAAUUAUUGGUGUCCCUCCCGGAGGGCGCCACGAAACAAGAGGCUUGGAGGCAAACAAGGAGAGAUGACAACCGCCCGCGCGCGCGCACGCCAGAAACGAGUUCCACCCAUAAAUAGAUACUCGUCUCCUUCCUCCGCCUGCGAUCCUCCUCCCUGCCCCAUUUCUCUCCUUCCUCCACCCACCCGGCUUUCGUUUCUUGGAAGCGAGAGGAGGGACGGGGAGGGAGAGGGGGCGGAGGGCGCCGGUGAGCUUUGCCAGGGAAGCUGCUUGCGUGGGGCUUUGCACGGCCGGGCCCCGCCCACGCUUCCCUCUUGCUCACUCACUCCCACCAACGCUCGCCUCUCACCUACUCUCUCUCUCUCUCUCUUAUCUCCUUCCAAGAUCCCUUUUUCCCUUUCGUCUUUGCUAGGACCAUUCCUUGAUCUUUCCUUGGCUCCAAAUACUCCCGUUCCAGCUGCGGAGAUCCCACCUCGGUUCCCUCCCGUCCGAGUAAUUAGCUCGAAUUUGACUUGUUUCUUGCUCUUCUUUCUUUUGUGGCUGCUCAGUUCCUGCGUGUCUCCGCUUCAAUCCGAGAAACCCCCGCUCGGCAACAAGUGUCACCCCUACUUCUCCGGGCUUCGAUUCGAUCGAAUCCCGCCCAAUAUUUUUCUAACCCUUUCUGAAGUGGGUUCCAUCGCCUAGCUUUCUCCGAUCGGCCGGAGAAAGCAGCUGAGCUAGUGGUUGAUGCGGCUGUGGUCGUAGAGGCGGCAGCAUCUCAUCUCUCUUUCUUCCACUGGGUCUGGGUCUGGGUGGCUUGCGUUGUUUAUUUGCGAGGAGCACUGUGCAGCCGCAGUGCUCCACGCCUCGCUUCUUUGCUUCUCAUCAAUGCUUGCCCUGGUCGCCACCUUCGUCUUCUCCUGCCUCCUCUUCUUGUCCAAGCCAUGCGCCCGUGACAUGAGACUCUUCCUCGCCUCCAUCUCCCAACAACUCGCGCUCUCGCUGCUCGGAUUCUUGGCCGGCUACAGGCUGCUCGGCGGCGUCGCCUCCACGGCCGCGGACGCCAUGCCCCUCAUGCCGUCCUUCAAGAGGAAGCGCCCGGCCGCCAAGCUGGAGACUACGGAUACGACCGGCGAGCCGUCGGUCCUCGACCUCCCGGAGCUGGCCAUCGACUGCAUUCUCGCCAAGCUGCCGCCGGCGGAGCUGCGGAACAUGGCCGCCGUCAGCCAGUCCAUGCGGGAAAGGUGCAGGAGCGACCACCUCUGGGAGCGCCACAUGUCCGACAAGUGGGGUUCUGUCCUGGGUACCGCCGCGAGGGACGAGUGGAGGUCGUAUCUGUCCUCGUCGACCGCGGCCGGUGGCGGCGCGUCGGGGUGCGGGUCUGCUGGCAGCGGCAAGCACCGGAGGUGGCUUGCCGCGCUGUCCUGCGUCUGCCCUGUGGUGUCCUGGAUGCGGCCCAGGGCCGACGGCGGCGCCGGCACGUCCGCGGGCCCUGUGCUGGAUGAUUCCAUCAUGUCGUGGUAUCUCCACCUGGAGAGCGGCAAGCUCUGGUUCCCCGCACAGGUCUACAACCGAGAGCAUGGGCAUGUUGGGUUCAUGAUGUCAUGCUAUGAUGCAGAGCUCAGCUAUGAUUUCCGCACUGACACGUUCCACGCAAGGUAUCCACCACACGGGCGACGAACUGUAGUCUUGGAAGAUGGCGUGCAAUGGGACAGGGUCAGGGCACCUCCCGUCGGAACUCUUGCACAUGACCUGCAUGCCUCUGACUGCUUACAUGAACUACGGCCUGGCGCUAACAUUGAGAUUCAGUGGAGAAGGAACAAGGAGUUCCCAUAUGACACUGUGGUGCUGGAGUUCAAUCAAUACACGCCUGGCUCAAGAUGGAGGCAGUCCCUGGUGAACCGAAAGGACCACAGAGAAGAAGGCAACGAGAGUGAUGGAUUCUACGGUGGAAUAAGGAAGCUCCAAGACAAGGAUGAAAUCUCAAAGUGGAAGCAGCUAUGGCCAACGGAUAUCCUGGAAUAACGUGAACUAUUUCGCCCUUGUGACUCCCCAGUCAAGUUGGCUAAUUGAUAUGCCUCCCACGGUCAGCCACCCCCUCCGUAAGUUGUACACGGAUAGAACACGGGGUGGCAAAUUCUGGUUGCUGGACACGGUUGUAAACUUACUGUCGGGCAAAUAAACGCAGACUGCUGCUGAUCUACGUGCAGUGUAUGUAACCGCAGUCUGCGCCUUUUUGCUUGCUAUUGUAGUCCUAGAGCAGAAAGAUCAAAUGUAAAUUACAAUUUAGUUCAGAUUUACGACAGGUUUGUCGCAGUUCUCUCCCUCCAUUGCUGCUUUCCACCAUCAGGUAGCAAGUAAAACACACAGAGCAAGGAAGUAGCAGAGUUUCACUGUUGCCAACGCCUGAACUGGACACUGUAGCCACCUAAUAUGUGUAGGAGGUUACAUUGGAUCGGCUUUUCAGAUAGGCCUUGAGAGGCAAGGAAAGUAGGUUACAUCUCUAUCUCUAAUGCCUCUUUAGAUCCUCCUAGAUAACCGCAGAAUACAAGUUUGUUACAAUCAGGUGUAGCCUAUGAUCCUAUCACAACCAAGGAAAACAAUGAGGUUGAGAUUGCGCUUGAAUGCUUCAAUCUGUCGGCCCGUCAGAGCCUUGGUAAAUCCAUCAACAACUUCCUCUGUAGGAAUAAAUAUAAUGUCAAGUAACUUGCGUUCAACUCUUUCUCUAACAAAGUGGUAAUCCACUUCUAUGUGUUUUGUUUUGGCAUGAAACACAGGAUUGCCAGACAGUUAUGGCUCCAAUAUUAUCCCACCAUAACCUUGAGAGAUUAGA